rnacentral:rRNA from 1 species
UUGGUGGGGUGAUGGCCUACCAAGGCGACGACGGGUAGCCGGCCUGAGAGGGUGUCCGGCCACACUGGGACUGAGAUACGGCCCAGACUCCUACGGGAGGCAGCAGUGGGGAAUAUUGCACAAUGGGCGCAAGCCUGAUGCAGCGACGCCGCGUGGGGGAUGACGGCCUUCGGGUUGUAAACCUCUUUCACCAUCGGCGAAGCCCGUAGCUUUUGUUGUGGGUGACGGUAGGUGGAGAAGAAGCACCGGCCAACUACGUGCCAGCAGCCGCGGUAAUACGUAGGGUGCGAGCGUUGUCCGGAAUUACUGGGCGUAAAGAGCUCGUAGGUGGUUUGUCGCGUUGUCCGUGAAAUUCCCUGGCUUAACUGGGGGCGUGCGGGCGAUACGGGCAGACUGGAGUACUGCAGGGGAGACUGGAAUUCCUGGUGUAGCGGUGGAAUGCGCAGAUAUCAGGAGGAACUCCGGUGGCGAAGGCGGGUCUCUGGGCAGUAACUGACGCUGAGGAGCGAAAGCGUGGGGAGCGAACAGGAUUAGAUACCCUGGUAGUCCACGCCGUAAACGGUGGGUACUAGGUGUGGGUUUCCUUCCUUGGGAUCCGUGCCGUAGCUAACGCAUUAAGUACCCCGCCUGGGGAGUACGG